CCUACGGGAGGCAGCAGUGGGGAAUAUUGGACAAUGGGGGGAACCCUGAUCCAGCCAUGCCGCGUGUGUGAAGAAGGCCCUCGGGGUGUAAAGCACUUUCAGUGAGGAAGAACGCCUGGUGGUUAAUACCCAUCAGGAAAGACAUCACUCACAGAAGAAGCACCGGCUAACUCCGUGCCAGCAGCCGCGGUAAUACGGAGGGUGCGAGCGUUAAUCGGAAUUACUGGGCGUAAAGCGCGCGUAGGUGGCUUGAUAAGCCGGUUGUGAAAGCCCCGGGCUCAACCUGGGAACGGCAUCCGGAACUGUCAAGCUAGAGUGCAGGAGAGGAAGGUAGAAUUCCCGGUGUAGCGGUGAAAUGCGUAGAGAUCGGGAGGAAUACCAGUGGCGAAGGCGGCCUUCUGGACUGACACUGACACUGAGGUGCGAAAGCGUGGGUAGCAAACAGGAUUAGAUACCCUAGUAGUC
rnacentral:rRNA from 1 species